AAUGGGAUAUUGGGGCCUGCAAAGGAGAAGAGGAGAUCCGCACAAACCCGUUCCUGGCUGCUGCAUUCACCUCCAGCGUUUGUGAUGCCCCAGAGCACAGAACUCCAGGGAGCCCACGAUGCAGGAGAGUUCAGCGACAUUCACUGAGUACAAGAGAGACUGUUGGGAGGCACCAACGGACUUUGCAACUGGAGAUCUCCCAACUGGACCAUGUCCCUGUUAUGUUUAAUUUGCACUGUGCACAGUAGGUACCCAGUCAAUGCUUGUCGAAGUGCAUGGACUGGGCCUUAUACCUCCGAGGAUUUUUCACAGCAGUGGCAUAUGCACAUGCACAGAGCAAGAACGCAACCAAUGCUUGUUUGCUGGUGAAGACCUGGUCUCAGUAUUUCACCCAGGAAACCCAUUCUUCAUGGACAGCAUGAGGCAAGCUAUGGCCCUUGCUGUGGUCUCAGUGGUUCAGCACGGAAGAUGAAGAUGACGGACAGUCUCAGAAUAUUAGCUUUAGAAGGGACUUUGGAUCCUUUUGAUUUUGGUAGGUGAAAUACUUUUUAAAAAUAAAGAAAA
rnacentral:lncRNA from 1 species